CUAGAAGAUAUUUUGUGCGCAAUUUUUCAUUAGCUUCGUCGUCCGUUUCACCAGGUUUUCCAGCAACUUUUGAAAUAGCAGCUGUACCAAAGUCAUCCCUAUCGUCUUCUUCCAGAUCAUUUUCUUCUUGCCGAUUCCAAUUCUCUUUUUCUUUUGAUGAGGGAGCAGGCUCAGCAGCAGGCGAUGCCGUAUUUGCCUUUGCAUGAGCUCCUGCUGUAGGAGAAUUAGAUUGAUCGUAGCUCAUCGAUCGCUGAAAUCGAGGUACUGAACUCGCAGAACCAGUUCGUUUCAUAUUUAUCCCUUCUAUCUUCAAAAAACUGAAGAGCUCUAAAUGUUUAAAAAUUGGGUUUGAUUUUGUUAUGCAAAGUGAGAAUGUACAAGAAGUAAAUUUCACAGGUUGGAAACUGCUUCAUACAUAAGCAAGUACACUA